rnacentral:rRNA from 1 species
AACGAACGCUGGCGGCAUGCCUAACACAUGCAAGUCGAACGAGACCUUCGGGUCUAGUGGCGCACGGGUGCGUAACGCGUGGGAACCUGCCCUUAGGUUCGGAAUAACUCCCCGAAAGGGGUGCUAAUACCGGAUAAUGUCUUCGGACCAAAGAUUUAUCGCCUUUGGAUGGGCCCGCGUUGGAUUAGCUAGUUGGUAGGGUAAAAGCCUACCAAGGCGACGAUCCAUAGCUGGUCUGAGAGGAUGAUCAGACACACUGGGACUGAGACACGGCCCAGACUCCUACGGGAGGCAGCAGUGGGGAAUAUUGGACAAUGGGCGAAAGCCUGAUCCAGCAAUGCCGCGUGAGUGAUGAAGGCCUUAGGGUUGUAAAGCUCCUUUACCCGGGAUGAUAAUGACAGUACCGGGAGAAUAAGCUCCGGCUAACUCCGUG